UACGGAGGGGACUAGCGUUGUUCGGAAUUACUGGGCGUAAAGCGCACGUAGGCGGCUUUGUAAGUUAGAGGUGAAAGCCCGGGGCUCAACUCCGGAACUGCCUUUAAGACUGCAUCGCUAGAAUUGUGGAGAGGUAAGUGGAAUUCCGAGUGUAGAGGUGAAAUUCGUAGAUAUUCGGAGGAACACCAGUGGCGAAGGCGGCUCACUGGUCCGGUACUGACGCUGAGGUGGCGAAAAGCUAGGGGAGCGAACGGG
rnacentral:rRNA from 1 species